AGAGUUUGAUCAUGGCUCAGAGUGAACGCUGGCGGCGUGCCUAAUACAUGCAAGUCGAACGGACAUGUAAGAGCUUGCUCUUAUGAGUUAGUGGCGCACGGGUGAGUAAUGUAUAGUUAAUCUGCCCUACACUGGAGGACAACAGUUAGAAAUGACUGCUAAUACUCCAUACUCCUUCUUAACACAAGUUAAGUCGGGAAAGUUUUUUCGGUGUAGGAUGAGACUAUAUUGUAUCAGCUAGUUGGUAAGGUAAUGGCUUACCAAGGCUAUGACGCAUAACUGGUCUGAGAGGAUGAUCAGUCACACUGGAACUGAGACACGGUCCAGACUCCUACGGGAGGCAGCAGUAGGGAAUAUUGCUCAAUGGGGGGAAACCCUGAAGCAGCAACGCCGCGUGGAGGAUGACACUUUUCGGAGCGUAAACUCCUUUUGUUAGGGAAGAACACUGACGGUACCUAACGAAUAAGCACCGGCUAACUCCGUGCCAGCCGCCGC
rnacentral:rRNA from 1 species